GACGAACGCUGGCGGCGCGCCUAACACAUGCAAGUCGAACGAGCGAGAGAGAGCUUGCUUUCUUGAGCGAGUGGCGAACGGGUGAGUAACGCGUGAGGAACCUGCCUCAAAGAGGGGGACAACAGUUGGAAACGACUGCUAAUACCGCAUAAGCCCACGGUGCCGCAUGGCACAGAGGGAAAAGGAGCAAUCCGCUUUGAGAUGGCCUCGCGUCCGAUUAGCUAGUUGGUGAGGUAACGGCCCACCAAGGCGACGAUCGGUAGCCGGACUGAGAGGUUGAACGGCCACAGUGGGACUGAGACACGGCCCAGACUCCUACGGGAGGCAGCAGUGGGGAAUAUUGCACAAUGGGGGAAACACUGAUGCAGCGACGCCGCGUGGAGGAAGAAGGUCUUCGGAUUGUAAACCCCUGUUGUUGGGGAAGAUAAUGACGGUACCAAACAAGGAAGUGACGGCUAACUACGUG
rnacentral:rRNA from 1 species